rnacentral:rRNA from 1 species
GACGAACGCUGGCGGCGUGCCUAAUACAUGCGAGUAGAACGCUGAAGGAGGAGCUUGCUUCUCCGGAUGAGUUGCGAACGGGUGAGUAACGCGUAGGUAACCUGCCUGGUAGCGGGGGAUAACUAUUGGAAACGAUAGCUAAUACCGCAUAACAGUAGAUAUUGCAUGAUAUCUGCUUGAAAGGUGCAAUUGCAUCACUACCAGAUGGACCUGCGUUGUAUUAGCUAGUUGGUGAGGUAACGGCUCACCAAGGCGACGAUACAUAGCCGACCUGAGAGGGUGAUCGGCCACACUGGGACUGGGACACGGCCCAGACUCCUACGGGAGGCAGCAGUAGGGAAUCUUCGGCAAUGGACGGAAGUCUGACCGAGCAACGCCGCGUGAGUGAAGAAGGUUUUCGGAUCGUAAAGCUCUGUUGUAAGAGAAGAACGAGUGUGAGAGUGGAAAGUUCACACUGUGACGGUAUCUUACCAGAAAGGGACGGCUAACUACGUG